UUUGACAUGGACGUGGUACCUGAGGUGAAAGCUUCGGGGACUCGCAAGAGAGCGUUCGCAGGUGCUGCAUGGCUGUCGUCAGCUCGUGUCGUGAGAUGUUCGGUUAAGUCCGGCAACAAGCGCAACCCUCGCCUCCAGUUACCAGCGAGUAAAGUCGGGGACUCUGGAGGGACUAACCCGUUAGGGUGGGAAGGUGGGGAUGACGUCAAGUCAGUAUGGCCCUUACAUCUAGGGCUGCACACGUGCUACAAUGCCUGGUACAAAAGGAUCCGAGACCGCGAGGUGGAGGAAAUCCCGAAAGCCAGGCCCAGUUCAGAUUGAAGUCUGCAACUCGACUUCAUGAAGCCGGAAUCGCUAGUAAUGGUAGAUCAGCUACGCUACCGUGAAUACGUUCCCGGGCCUUGUACACACCGCCCGUCACGUCAUG
rnacentral:rRNA from 1 species